rnacentral:rRNA from 1 species
UACGUAGGGGGCUAGCGUUGUCCGGAAUCAUUGGGCGUAAAGAGCGCGUAGGCGGCCAGAUAAGUCCGGUGUGAAAGUCAAAGGCUCAACCUUUGAAUGCCGCUGGAAACUGUCUGGCUAGAGUCCGGGAGGGGCGAGUGGAAUUCCUGGUGUAGCGGUGAAAUGCGCAGAUAUCAGGAAGAACACCCGUGGCGAAAGCGGCUCUCUGGAACGGUACUGACGCUGAGACGCGAAAGCGUGGGGAGCGAACAGG